rnacentral:rRNA from 1 species
GACGAACGCUGGCGGCGUGCUUAACACAUGCAAGUCGAACGAAGUGGCGAACGGGUGAGUAACGCGGAAUCAACCUGCCCUUCAGAGGGGGACAACAGGUGGAAACGACUGCUAAUACCGCAUACUGAAGGAGGGGAUUGCGUCUGAGUAGCUCGUUGGCGGGGUAACGGCCCACCAAGGCGAUGAUCAGUAGCCGGUCUGAGGGGAUGAACGGCCACAUCGGGACUGAGACCCGGCCCAGACUCCCACGGUAGGCCGCCGGGGGGAAUCUUCCGCAAUGGACGAAAGUCUUACGGAGCAACGCCGCGUUAGUGAUGACGGCCUUCGGGUUGUAAAGCUCUGUUAAUCGGGGCGCGGUACCGGAAUAGAAAGCCACGGCUAACUACGUGCCAGCCGCCGCGGUAAUAC